GUCUCUGUAGCGCAAUGGAUAGCGUGUUGGACUUCUAAUCCAAAAACGUGGAUUCGGAUCUCACCUGAGAUG